CCUACGGGCGACAGCAGUAGGGAAUCUUCCACAAUGGGCGAAAGCCUGAUGGAGCAACGCCGCGUGGGUGAAGAAGGUCUUCGGAUCGUAAAACCCUGUUGUUAGAGAAGAAAGUGCGUGAGAGUAACUGUUCACGUUUCGACGGUAUCUAACCAGAAAGCCACGGCUAACUACGUGCCAGCAGCCGCGGUAAUACGUAGGUGGCAAGCGUUAUCCGGAUUUAUUGGGCGUAAAGGGAACGCAGGCGGUCUUUUAAGUCUGAUGUGAAAGCCUUCGGCUUAACCGGGGUAGUGCAUUGGAAACUGGGAGACUGGAGUGCAGAAGAGGAGAGUGGAACUCCAUGUGUAGCGGUGAAAUGCGUAGAUAUAUGGAAGAACACCAGUGGCGAAAGCGGCUCUCUGGUCUGUAACUGACGCUGAGGUUCGAAAGCGUGGGUAGCAAACAGGAUUAGAUACCCGGGUAGUC
rnacentral:rRNA from 1 species